rnacentral:lncRNA from 1 species
AAAUGAGCUUCCGUCCUGGAGAGUCAUUGGCAACAGACUUGGGACCAGCACUGGGACUUCUGUAGGAGACACAGCCCUAGUGACUCAAACACUUUGGGAAAUAGGCCAAAAUUAAGAGAGGAUCAUUAAUAAAACAGUGUCAAACAGGGCAGGACGGGCAAUCAGAUGGCAGGGAGCAUGGACAGAAAAGGGAUCCUGAGCACAGUUUGCAAAUUGUGGAGGGGAAAGUCAAACAUCAUUCUGCAUCCAACCCAGUGGAGUAUGCAGGAAAACCACAUUCCUGUCUCUAGACCCAUCAGUGUUCAACAGGCCAUACUUUUCCUCCUGAAUCCUUAUUGUCCACUGAGAUUCUUGCUUUGGUACUCACCAGGUCACCAUUUUUGCUAGUUCUCCUUGGCCACUUGUACAGAGAUCUUCUCCAGGGUUCUGAAAAGAGGAGUGUAUUCUGUCCCCUGUGAGUGAUUCACAGAGUGUUCUAUGUUGACACAUUUUGCACAGGCUGUAAAAAGCUCU